rnacentral:lncRNA from 1 species
GGAUGGAUGGGUGGGUGGAUGGAUGGGUGGGUGGGUGGAUGGAGUUGUGUUUUCCCUCCCAGUGAAUGUUGAACUUUUCAUGGCAGUCUAGUUGAUAACAGCACGACUGUAUGUGUUGAACGUGUAAACGACUAUGUGUUGAACGUGUAAAUGACUGUGUUGAACGUGUAAAUGACUAUGUGUUGAACGUGUAAAUGCUUUCAUCAAACAUUAGUCAAGCCAGUUGUUCUACUCUCAACCUUUUGUUUAAAACGGAUUUAAAAUGAGAUAAUAUAAUACAAUGAGUUUAAUAGUAUUUCAAAUACUAGAGGCUUCUAAUAAUGAGGUGUUGCAAGAGGCUUCUAAUAAUGAUGUGAUGCAAGAGGCUUCUAAUAAUGAUGUGAUUCAAGAGGCUUCUAAUAAUGAUGUGAUUCAAGAGGCUUCUAAUAAUGUGUUGCAAGAGGCUUCUAAUAAUGAUGUGUUGCCAGAGGCUUCUAAUAAUGAUGUGUUGCCAGAGGCUUCUAAUAAUGAUGUGUUGCCAGAGGCUUCUAAUAAUGAUGUGUUGCAAGAGGCUUCUAAUAAUGAUGUGAUUCAAGAGGCUUCUAAUAAUGAUGUGAUGCCAGAGGCUUCUAAUAAUGAUAUACAGUGCAUUCGGAAAGUAUUCAGACCCCUUGAUGUUUUCCACAGUUUGUUACGUUACAGCAAUAUUCUAAAAUUGAUUAAUCUACACACAGUACCCCAUAAUGACAAAGCAAAUGUUAUUUGUGACAUUUUUACAAAUGUAUUAAAAAUAAAAAAU